rnacentral:rRNA from 1 species
GACGAACCGUGCGAACGUUAUUCGGAAUCACUGGGCUUAAAGCGCGUGUAGGCGGGCCGGCACGUCGGUCGCUGAAAUCCCCCGGCUCAACCGGGGAAUGGGCGCCGAUACGACCGGCCUGGAGGGGCGUAGGGGGAGCCUGGAACUUCCGGUGGAGCGGUGAAAUGCGUUGAGAUCGGAAGGAACGCCCGUGGCGAAAGCGAGGUCCUGGACGCCAUCUGACGCUGAGACGCGAAAGCCAGGGGAGCGAACGGGAGUUAAGA